rnacentral:lncRNA from 1 species
CCCUACCGGACCUGAGAGGUGGGAAGUUUGGGGAUACCCGCUGCGGGUGUCCCAUUUCCGGGGCUGGGCUCCGGGUGGGAGCUUAGGCGCGGGCAGCUGCUUUUGUUCCCGGGAAGGGCGGAGCUGUGUCCAGGGGAGACACGCGUUGCAGCCGGCCGUUCCGGGAGGGCCCCGCAGCGGAGGGUCGGGGCUGGGUUGGGCUGGGGAGGGGGCCCAGGGCUGGGGCCGGUUCGGCCUCCCGGGUGGCACGCGGGCCAAGGAACUAAGAGGACCGCCGGGCCGCUUGUCCUUUGGAAAAACCUUGAUGGAAAAACCUUUUCGGGGAGCAAAAAGCUGCAACGUGUGACUAAGCAUGGAGACUCCAGGAUACUGCCAGCUGAAGGCCUGAUCACCCUUCCCACCUGCAAACCCGACCACCACCCACCUUGCUCUUCACCCUGUGGCUGAUGGUGUCACCACUCACACAGUCAUCGGAACCAGAAAUCCAGGGCCAUCAAUGCCCACUCCUUCAUGUGUUCACCCCACACUUACUGAGUCCUGACUGUGAGUCACGCUUACCCUGAGAUCCAGGCAUCCAGUCCUGCUGUUUUGAGCUAUAACCUCUCUUCUGCGUGCACCACCUUCCUUCCCCUGCCACCCCACCGACCCACCCUCCACCCCGCAGGACUUCUCUGGCCACACUCCCUGCUCCAGCCCCCUGACACAUCUCUCU